UCCUAUAUGCAUCAGUAACAUUCUUCAUCUUUCUUUCAUAUGUAACCAUGAACUCGUUGUUAAUGGAAAUUACAGAGGUACGGAUCGUCGUUCUCUGCCUGCAACUUGUCAGCCAUGGAAGCAAUUGGUCGUGGUCGUGGCAUUCACAUUUUCCGGCAUAAACAAACUCUGAUGCUCUUCAUCCUUGCGACUAUGAAGCUUUUUAAAAUCGGCGGAUCAUUUCAGAAUAUGAAAUAAAAUAUAUUUUUGACACAAAGAAAAAUAAAGGAGAAAGAAAGAAUUAAAAUUGAAGAAAUCAUGAAGAAAAUUGCAUUUUUGAAGAUGAAAUGGCCCAAAACUAGGCCCAAAAUGGAGCCCAAACCCAAGCAAUGGCUGCUCCCCCAUGCUGCCACUUGGCAGCCCGCCAUUUGGCCAGCCAAGCCACACCAGCCAAGCAGCCAGCCGCCAGCCACCAGCCCAGCCGCCAGGUGCCCCUGACUCCGUCUGACACCUGCCACCUGACGCUGCCACACCUGCCACAUGUCUGACAAGAACACCAACUCAUCAAUGUGUUGCAAGAACAAAGAGAUGCAUUAGGAUGAACGAUAGCUGACAUCAAAGGUAAAAGCAAGGAGUCAGUCAACCGGCCAUGAGUAUGGAGAGCGUGGGGGCGGCGCGUACAUGUUCGGCCUGCCCGACUGCAUUGGUUGGGGGCAUUUUGUAAAUGGCUGUAUUAAUCCAUUCUUUUGAUAGUUA